UAUUGGACAAUGGGGGAAACCCUGAUCUAGCCAUGCCGCGUGUGUGAAGAAGGCCUUUUGGUUGUAAAGCACUUUAAGCAGUGAAGAAGACUCUUCGGUUAAUACCCGGUGACGAUGACAUUAGCUCCAGAAUAAGCACCGGCUAACACUGUGCCAGCAGCCGCGGUAAUACAGAGGGUGCAAGCGUUAAUCGGAAUUACUGGGCGUAAAGCGAGCGUAGGUGGCUUAAUAAGUCAGAUGUGAAAUCCCCGGGCUUAACCUGGGAACUGCAUCUGAUACUGUUGGGCUAGAGUAGGUGAGAGGGAGGUAGAAUUUCAGGUGUAGCGGUGAAAUGCGUAGAGAUCUGAAGGAAUACCGAUGGCGAAGGCAGCCUCCUGGCAUCAUACUGACACUGAGGUUCGAAAGCGUGGGUAGCAAACAG
rnacentral:rRNA from 1 species